AUCACUGGAGGCUCCAUCAGAGGACGCAGCGCAGCCUCAGGACCUCUCGGACUGAAGGAAGACACUCGCUACACACUGCAGAUGAAAGGCCGGCCCGUCCCACAUCUCUGCGCUCAUUUGCUCGUGCACGGACCUGCAGAAAAACCCUCCUGAUCACGGAUACAAACACACAAUUCAACGAGGAUAUCGCACCCAAAACCUACCGCGAAACCCAGCCUCGGCAGAGGGUGUGGGAUUUAUCGAUCUGAUCCACGCGCUCACCUGUUUGUCAGAGCGAGGCUGCACGCAAAGUCAAGUGUCCUGCACAUCUGGAGCCUGAACGAUGCUACCGACCGUCCUCGUCACCACAUGUGGAUGUUUUAGUCUCCAUGGACACAGGAUGCACGAUGUGAAAGAAGCUUCAGACUUACCUUUUGCUGUGACAGCAAACAACGGAUCCUGUUCCUGUCUUUGGUUAUCUAGCUGUAUGAGUGUUAAUCCUCCAUCAUAAAGCUAGAUAACCGAAAGUAGGAAUGGCCUCCAAACCCUCAGCUUCCUGCGACACCAUGUAUUUUGAGGUGGGUUAUGAAACACUAAAGUUUUUUUAAUAUGAAAAUUUAAAUAACUCACAAUUGGAGCUGCAACAAGUAGCAGAUUAAGUUGAACAAAAGAGAAACAAUCAGCGACUAUUUCAACUUAUUCUUCAUUCAAAAAUUGUUCCCAUUUCCAGCUUCUGAUGCUUUUCCUAAUCAAAUGAGACAAUAAAUGGAGAAUCUUUGGAUUUUUUAAAUAGUUUAAGGCAUUAUUUACUUCAUUUUCUGACAAUUUAUACCAAUUCAAUUAUUUGUUAAUUAAAUAUAUAUAUAAUUAUUAGUUGCAGGCUAAUGCAUCAAACAUCUAAGUCUUAUUAUUUUAGUUUCUUAAACACUUAUGUCCACAUGUCCCUCUUAGUGAUUUAAUAAAUAUCUCAUCCAAUAAAUGUAAUUUGUUGGUUUCUUGUGAGUCUUUCAAAUACCAAUUAUUAGUCCAAGUCCCACUUUAAUUUACUUCAAUUGGAAGGCCGGAAGCAAAUAAGAUUUCUGAUACUAUCAGCUCGAAUAUUUACGUUUCUGUCUGUGAGAUUUUACUCAUAAAACAACAGAACUAACUUUCCUGAAGGAUGUUUUCUGUCUCCUGAGACCACAGGGGAACAUGGGAAUAAUUAUUUAAACAAAUCAGACACUUUCCAAAAGGGCCCCUGCUUAAUCUAUUCAAACAAAUGAAUGUUUCUGUCCCGCACUUCCUUUAGACACAGACUUUUGAUACCCGAUGCAUCGUAGUUCUUGCUGUUGAGUUGUCCCCAAAGCCUCUGUUGAACAAACAUUAAAACAAUGAAAUACACUAAACCAAGUUCACUCUGGCUCAGUGUUGCUAUUGCUUUGAUAAACUCAAACACUUUAAAUCAAAUCUAUAACUUCCAUUAUAAGUUUAAACAUAGAUAUUAUUCUUUUCACAAUUGAAAUUCUUAAAAUUGCAUUAAAUCAUAAAUGUCUUUGCAUAAUUGUAUCAAAACAGGUGUCCCUCUUUUGCUGCUUUUAACCACAGUGCACAAUAGAUUUAUCAUUUCUGAUUGUAAACCAGAACUCACAUUUUAAAUAUUUUCACUGUGAAAAAAAUAACACAGCUUCCCAAACCCCUGUCCUGCAUUUAUGCAAUAAAAUAUAAUAUUAAUUCCAAAAACUGGUCCAAACUGUGAAGCAAGGCAACAAAAGGAAAGAAAACACAUCAUUUCAUUUUGAAUGACACAGAAUGUUUUAAUGUAAUUGCAGGCAUUAUUUGAUGUACAGACACAGAUUAUCCAACAGUUAUAUAUACUGCCAACAAUUUCACAGCAGGUUUUAGAAAUGCAAAGGAAAUCUAAAAACAUUUUCCUAAAUCUACAUGGCCAUCGCUGUGGUCUUCUUUACUCUGAAAUAAAGGCCUGCGUCAAAUAUUGCAGGUCAGCCUCCUUCACUGCCAAAACAUCAUGCCGUCUACAUGGAAGCCAUCUUGAGGGAGUCUCCCUGCUGCCUCUAAAAUGGUUGUGUUGGCACAUAGCAGGGCGCUUUAAUUGGUCCAUCGUUAGCUGUCUAUCAGCUCCCUAAUCAGCGCUGUCUUUAAGCCUUCCUGUCCUUUACAACACGUCUCCUCUGUGGUGUGAUCUCACUAAGAGAUGUAGCUUAUUAGUGAGGUCACGUUACUGAACCCAAUCAAUGAAUCACUGUACAUGUAACUGCUACUGUGACUGAACAGUGAAUUAAACAAUCAGUGAUUUGGAUGUAGACAACCUCAUGACAUUUGAUUUCAUUAAAGCAGCUGCUGCACACCUGACACCUCUAGGAUCCCACUAAUGUCAAGUGGGGAAAUAAUAAUUCAAAUUAGUCAAAUGUAGAGAGACAACAAACUGAA